rnacentral:rRNA from 1 species
CCUAAGGCCGAGAGCUGAUGACGAGUGUUCUUUUAGAACACGAAGUGGUUGAUGCCAUGCUUCCAAGAAAAGCUUCUAAGCUUCAGGUAACCAGGAACCGUACCCCAAACCGACACAGGUGGUUGGGUAGAGAAUACCAAGGCGCUUGAGAGAACUCGGGUGAAGGAACUAGGCAAAAUGGCACCGUAACUUCGGGAGAAGGUGCGCCGGUGAGGGUGAAGCAUUUACUGCGUAAGCCCACGCCGGUCGAAGAUACCAGGCCGCUGCGACUGUUUAUUAAAAACACAGCACUCUGCAAACACGAAAGUGGACGUAUAGGGUGUGACGCCUGCCCGGUGCCGGAAGGUUAAUUGAUGGGGUUAGCUAACGCGAAGCUCUUGAUCGAAGCCCCGGUAAACGGCGGCCGUAACAAUAACGGUCCUAAGGUAGCGAAAUUCCUUGUCGGGUAAGUUCCGACCUGCACGAAUGGCGUAACGAUGGCGGCGCUGUCUCCACCCGAGACUCAGUGAAAUUGAAAUCGCUGUGAAGAUGCAGUGUAUCCGCGGCUAGACGGAAAGACCCCGUGAACCUUUACUAUAGCUUUGCACUGGACUUUGAAUUUGCUUGUGUAGGAUAGGUGGGAGGCUUUGAAGCGUGGACGCCAGUUCGCGUGGAGCCAUCCUUGAAAUACCACCCUGGCAACUUUGAGGUUCUAACUCAGGUCCGUUAUCCGGAUCGAGGACAGUGUAUGGUGGGUAGUUUGACUGGGGCGGUCUCCUCCUAAAGAGUAACGGAGGAGUACGAAGGUGCGCUCAGACCGGUCGGAAAUCGGUCGUAGAGUAUAAAGGCAAAAGCGCGCUUGACUGCGAGACAGACACGUCGAGCAGGUACGAAAGUAGGUCUUAGUGAUCCGGUGGUUCUGUAUGGAAGGGCCAUCGCUCAACGGAUAAAAGGUACUCCGGGGAUAACAGGCUGAUACCGCCCAAGAGUUCAUAUCGACGGCGGUGUUUGGCACCUCGAUGUCGGCUCAUCACAUCCUGGGGCUGAAGCCGGUCCCAAGGGUAUGGCUGUUCGCCAUUUAAAGUGGUACGCGAGCUGGGUUUAGAACGUCGUGAGACAGUUCGGUCCCUAUCUGCCGUGGACGUUUGAGAUUUGAGAGGGGCUGCUCCUAGUACGAGAGGACCGGAGUGGACGAACCUCUGGUGUUCCGGUUGUCACGCCAGUGGCAUUGCCGGGUAGCUAUGUUCGGAAUAGAUAACCGCUGAAAGCAUCUAAGCGGGAAACUAGCCUCAAGAUGAGAUCUCACUGGAACCUUGAGUUCCCUGAAGGGCCGUCGAAGACUACGACGUUGAUAGGUUGGGUGUGUAAGCGCUGUGAGGCGUUGAGCUAACCAAUACUAAUUGCCCGCGAGGCUUGACCAA